rnacentral:lncRNA from 1 species
AGGAUGUUACCCCGACGGGAGUUUCUAGAAAUGAGCAUUAAAACAUUCGAAACGUCAAAUACCAGAGUAUUAUCUUUAUAAGGAUCAAUACAAUGUCCACUUCCUGACGAGAAUCUGAUUAUUUUCCGUAAACCUGAUGGCGAAUAUGAACAUUAAAGGGAGUAAACGUAAAGGCAGAGAAAACAAAAUAUCGUUUGAAAACCUUAAGUUAAAGGACGUUAUGUUUGAAGCGUUACAAGACAGGUAUACCGUUAGUGAAAAAGAAUUAUUUAGAGUUGUCGGGAAUAAACUAAAGAAUGCACCAGGAAGAUUGAACCAUUCCAUUGAUAUCUAACAUUUAUAUUAUAUUAUAUGUAUAUAGUUUAUGUUAUAGUAUAUAGUUACUUUUUUUAAAUAAAUAAACAAUAAUAUUAUACAA